GGGACGCGGUGACACCGAGGGCGGGGACGAUGCUGGGGACAGAGGUGACACCGCUGGCGUCAGAGUGACACGGGUGACACAGCCCAGGACAGAGGUGACCCACGGUGACCCCACGGUGACCCCACGGUGACCCAGAGGGGACACAGAGGUGACACGAGGUGUCCCAGGUGUGACACUGCCGUGUCCCCGCUGUCCCCAAGGUGUCACUGUGCUGUCCCCGCUGUCCCCAAGGUGACACUGCGCUGUCCCCAAGGUGUCACUGCGCUGUCCCCAAGGUGUCACUGUGCUGUCCCCGC